GACGAACGCUGGCGGCGUGCUUAACACAUGCAAGUCGAACGGAGUGGCGAACGGGUGAGUAACACGUGGGUAACCUGCCUUGCACUUCGGGAUAAGCUUGGGAAACUGGGUCUAAUACCGGAUAGUGCAAGAUGAGCUCGCGGGCUAUCAGCUUGUUGGUGGGGUAAUGGAUUACCAAGGCGUCGACGGGUAGCCGGCCUGCGAGGGUGUACGGUCACAUUGGGACCGGGAUACUGCGCAGACUCGUACGGGAGGCAGUAGUGGGGAAGAUUGCAGAAUGGGGGGGAGCCUGAUGCAGCGACGCGGCGGGGGUGAUGAUGUCCUUCGGGUUGUAUACCCCUUGCGACAGGGAUGCGGUACCUGGAUAAGAAGCACCGGCUAACUACGUGCCAGCAGCCGCGGUAAUAC
rnacentral:rRNA from 1 species